rnacentral:tRNA from 1 species
GCCUCGGUAGCGCAGUAGGCAGCGCGUCAGUCUCAUAAUCUGAAGGCCGUGAGUUCGAGCCUCACCGGGGCA